ACUCAUCUUCUCUGCUCAGUUACUUUGUCCGAUCAAAUUUUAUUCUCUCCGCCGCUUAUUUGAUGUGCUAUGGUUUAGAUAUCUUAUGUUGAUUCGAUUUUUUUCAAAGAAAGCCUAAUUUGCAAAUUUCUUAAUCUAUACAAUUUAUUUGUAAUGGAUUGAGGAAUCUAUCGUUAGGCGAAAGAGAUGAUGGAUUUGUAAUAAUCUCCGGUAAGCUUACGUGAACCUCCGUAAGCUUGCUCUGCUUCUGAAAACUCCGAGUUUUCUUUUUCUUGACCGAAGGAUACUCGGUGAAUAGAGGCAGAUACAUCUAUCAAUCUCUGAAUCGAAAUUGCUUUGUUGAUUU
rnacentral:sRNA from 1 species